rnacentral:rRNA from 1 species
CCUACGGGUGGCUGCAGUAGGGAAUAUUGCUCAAUGGGGGAAACCCUGAAGCAGCAACGCCGCGUGGAGGAUGAAGGUUUUCGGAUUGUAAACUCCUUUUGUUAGAGAAGAUAAUGACGGUAUCUAACGAAUAAGCACCGGCUAACUCCGUGCCAGCAGCCGCGGUAAUACGGAGGGUGCAAGCGUUACUCGGAAUCACUGGGCGUAAAGAGCGCGUAGGGGGGAUAGCAAGUCAGAUGUGAAAUCCUAUGGCGUAACCAUAGAACUGCAUUUGAACCUGUUAUUCUAGAGUAUGGGAGAGGUAGGUGGAAUUCUUGGUGUAGGGGUAAAAUGCGUAGAGAUCAAGAGGAAUACUCAUUGCGAAGGCGACCUGCUAGAACAUAACUGACGCUGAUGCGCGAAAGCGUGGGGAGCAAACAGGAUUAGAUACCCUAGUAGUC